rnacentral:rRNA from 1 species
AUACCAGCCCCGCGAGUGGUCGGGACGGUUAUUGGGCCUAAAGCGCCCGUAGCCGGCCCGGUAAGUUCCCGCCGAAAUCCCCGGGCUCAACCCGGGGGCCUGCGGGAAUACUGCCGGGCUAGGGGGCGGGAGAGGCCGGGGGUACUCCCGGGGUAGGGGCGAAAUCCUAUAAUCCCGGGAGGACCACCAGUGGCGAAGGCGCCCGGCUGGAACGCGCCUGACGGUGAGGGGCGAAAGCCGGGGGAGCGAACCGGAUUAGAUACCCGAGUAGUCC